CGAACGCUGGCGGCGUGCCUAAUACAUGCAAGUCGAACGCUUCUUUCCUCCCGAGUGCUUGCACUCAAUUGGAAAGAGGAGUGGCGGACGGGUGAGUAACACGUGGGUAACCUACCCAUCAGAGGGGGAUAACACUUGGAAACAGGUGCUAAUACCGCAUAACAGUUUAUGCCGCAUGGCAUAAGAGUGAAAGGCGCUUUCGGGUGUCGCUGAUGGAUGGACCCGCGGUGCAUUAGCUAGUUGGUGAGGUAACGGCUCACCAAGGCCACGAUGCAUAGCCGACCUGAGAGGGUGAUCGGCCACACUGGGACUGAGACACGGCCCAGACUCCUACGGGAGGCAGCAGUAGGGAAUCUUCGGCAAUGGACGAAAGUCUGACCGAGCAACGCCGCGUGAGUGAAGAAGGUUUUCGGAUCGUAAAACUCUGUUGUUAGAGAAGAACAAGGACGUUAGUAACUGAACGUCCCCUGACGGUAUCUAACCAGAAAGACACGGCUAACUACGUG
rnacentral:rRNA from 1 species